rnacentral:lncRNA from 1 species
GAUGGGAAGGUGGAUCAUGUUAGCCACUUGAUCAUACAGAUAUUUACAAACAGAGAUAAUUAUCCAUCAAACUCCACACAAAUCAGCGCACGGCCGUAUCAGACAUUAAAUGAUUAAAUUUACAAAACAGCCAAAGAUUAAGGCUUAAAAAACAUAUGUAAACAUGAUUAUGUCUUCUUAUGUAUUAUAAUAACUAACAUACAUCUGAAAUUCUGAAUACGAAUUAAUAAAAAGGAAUAAAUAAUUAAAAUCUUCCAGGAGUUCUAGGAUCAUGGUUAUUGUUUGCUCCUGUUCCUGCAUAAUCUGUAAGCUCAACAUUCAUCCUUCUUUCCCCUAAUCUAAUUUCCACAAGUGAUUGUUCACCGUCACCCCUCAAGUCCAUCAUAUCCUACACAAAUAUCAACAAAUUAAUCGUAAAACUAGAAUUCCAUGUCACCUAUUUUAAUGAGCCAAAUUAAGUAGUAUAACAUUUCGUUACAAAUUAUCAUCAAUUUGAUAUCAAAAUUUCGGUAUGCAACAUUUUUACAACAUCAGCAGAGAAAAAAGAAAUUAAUAUUUAUGAAUUAUAUUGUCUAAUCCUGUCUAUAAAAAUAUAUACAUAAAUAUGUGUAUACAUGUUCAUAGAAUGUUUUGAUGUCAUCUCAUCUGGUCAUGAGAGAGAGAGAGAGAGAGAGAGAGAGAGAGAGAGAGAGAGAGAGAGUACCUGAUGUCGAAUAUUACCAAUUUUUAGUUCAUCUUUAAGACUCCCUGCUAAUCAAAGAAGUCAAUAUUACUUAUCAAAUUAAUAAUAAUUAAAGAAUUAUCGUAUUCCAACCAUACACUUCAUCCAUAUCAAGGGUUUUAUGAGACUUACUUGACGCAGGAACAGCCAUGACAGAAACCACCAUUAAAAAUAAGAGUAGCACCACCGCAAGCAACCGCUGGGAAGCCAUGAACACCACCACUUAAAGAAACAAAGUCUUUUUUCUUCAAAAUGAUAAACGGUUGGUGAAGAAGAUUAGAAUGAGGAAACUUAUGGUUCGUGUGGCAUUUAAAAAGCAGAAAAAAAAAUAAUAAAAAAAUUAAAUAAAGAAGUCAACUUCUAGUUUGUUCGCUUUUUCUGGUGAAUUCCCACUUCUAAAAUAAU